UGCGUGGUGGAGGAGCUGCAGCAGCAAGAGGACAAAAUCGAGCUCAAGUUUCAAAUGAAAUUCGGGCAACAAUUAUUGACCAUGUCAUCAAUCAUGGCUUGUCCUUUAGAAAGGCUGGACAAAGGGUCCAGCCCAUUCUGAGUCGGAGCACUGUGGCAUCUAUUGUCAGGCUUUUUUCGGAAUGAGAACAGAAUCCACACAUUGCCACACACUGGUGGCAGAGGAAAGAUAUUUAGUAUUGAACAGGAGUCUGCCAUUGUAGAUAUGGUAGUGGCAAACAAUGCAAUCAGACUGCGUGAAAUCCAGGCAGCAGUAAUUGCAGAUCAGGGAGCAUUUAGAAAUAUAAACAGUGUGAGUUUGGCAACUAUAGAUCGAGUCCUUAAACGAAACCAUGUCAGAAUGAAGCAGCUGUACAGAGUUCCAUUUCAAAGAAACUCUGACAUCGUAAAGGAGGCACGAUUCCAAGAAUAAUGGAGCUUGAAGCUGAAGGGGCACAUCACAAAUUCAUUUUUGUGGA